ACUGCUCAGUAACACGUAGUCAACAUGCCCAGAGGACGUGGAUUACCUCGGGAAACUGAGGAUAAACCGCGAUAGGUCAUAAUUACUGGAAUGUGUUAUGGCCCAAAUCUAUAUGGCCUCUGGAUUGGACUGCGGCCGAUCAGGCUGUUGGUGAGGUAAUGGCCCACCAAACCUUUUACCGGUACGGGCUCUGAGAGGAGGAGCCCGGAGAUGGGCACUGAGACAAGGGCCCAGGCCCUAUGGGGCGCAGCAGGCGCGAAAACUCUGCAAUAAGCGAAAGCUUGACAGGGUUAUUCUGAGUGAUUUCCGCUAAGGAAAUCUUUUGGCACCUCUAAAAAUGGUGCAGAAUAAGGGGUGGGCAAGCCUGGUGUCAGCCGCCGCGGUAAUACCAGCACCCCGAGUGGUCGGGACGAUUAUUGGGCCUAAAGCAUCCGUAGCCGGUUCUACAAGUCUUCCGUUAAAUCCAUCUGCUUAACAGAUGGGCUGCGGAGGAUACUAUGGAGCUAGGAGGCGGGAGAGGCAAGCGGUACUUAGUGGGUAGGGGUAAAAUCCUCUGAUCCAUUGAAGACCACCAGUGGCGAAGGCGGCUUGCCAGAACGCGCUCGACGGUGAGGGAUGAAAGCUGGGGGAGCAAACCGGAUUAGAUACCCGGGUAGUCCCAGCUGUAAACGAUGCAGACUCGGUGAUGGGCCGGCUUUAUGCCGGCUCAGUGCCGCAGGGAAGCCGUUAAGUCUGCCGCCUGGGGAGUACGGUCGCAAGACUGAAACUUAAAGGAAUUGGCGGGGGAGCAC
rnacentral:rRNA from 1 species